rnacentral:lncRNA from 1 species
CUGCUCUUGAUGGGGACAGAGCCCAGUCCCUUCCUCUAGCUCGGUGCUUUGCUACCUGCCUUGAGGCGAGUGGCUUAGCUCUGCCAUGUGCUCCCGUCAUGACGCCCGGCCUCAUCACAGGCCCCAAAGCAGCAGAGUCAAGUGACAGACCGCUCACGGAAACAAACCUUUCCUCUUUCUAAGCUGGUCAUCUCAGGUGUUUGUUAUAGUGACGGAAAGCCGACUAGCACAAAGAUCAGACAAACAGCUUGUGGCGCGGGUUCCUCUGAGUGCAGCUUCAACGUGUCCCGUGUGCGGUGAUAAGACGUGCUGGCGUCCUAGCUGCUUCCUCGGUAACAGCCCUUUCUUGUAAUCAGGCGUUUCCAGUGUUUGUCAGUCACUCCAUGGAUACCCACGUAUGCACACGCACGUGCACAUGGUUUUCAAGGGGUGGGAUUUGGCUGUGAAUUUCUACUUAUUUACGGUUUUUGAACUAUUGAUUGAUAAUGUGACUUAUCAUUUUCUUCUAGACCUGUCACAGUGCUCCUCAUUGGCACAUGAUGUAUCCUGAGGAGCUGGAGGUUCAGUGCCUGGAAGAAGCCAGACCUCGUGCAGCAGAGAAGCUGGCCGUGUGGGAAGCCACAUGGAGGAGGCUGAGCUGUGACGGGAGCCACCUCAUCUGCCAGCUGCAGAAGUGCCGUGACUACCGAGAGGAACCCCAGGUCUUGCUUCAUCUCUUCCUGAGCACCCGCCUCUGA